AUACGUAGGGGCAAGCGUUAUCCGGAAUUACUGGGUGUAAAGGGUGCGUAGGCGGUGAGGCAAGUCAGAUGUGAAAGCCCUAGGCUCAACUUAGGGACUGCAUUUGAAACUGCUUUACUAGAGUGCAGGAGAGGAAAGUGGAAUUCCUAGUGUAGCGGUGAAAUGCGUAGAUAUUAGGAGGAACACCAGUGGCGAAGGCGACUUUCUGGACUGUAACUGACGCUGAGGCACGAAAGCGUGGGGAGCGAACAGGAUUAGAUACCCUGGUAGUCCACGCUGUAAACGAUGAGUGCUAGGUGUUGGCCCGUAGAGGGUCGGUGCCGAAGUUAACACAUUAAGCACUCCACCUGGGGAGUACGAUCGCAAGAUUGAA
rnacentral:rRNA from 1 species